CUAAAACAAAUAAAGAAUAUCAUUUCGAGCAUACCAUUAAGCAUUGCACUGCAUGUGGGUCUGCAUGUUCCUAUGUUUCUCCUUUGCAAUUGUUUGGACAAACUGGGGUUUUACAGGUGGGCCCCCUGAUUGAGAAUUGACCAACCAUGCUUGCUAAUUGAGAAUCUUUCAGCUCUUCAAAGGCGUGGCCCUACAAAUUCACAGGUCUAACUCAUCCCUGUCUAACUGUUGGCUUCUAAAAAUUUAUGGCCCAAACAUAUCACGCAGAGAGAUUCGUGCUGUCUAGGCCAUUCACUCCUUGAGGAGAUGCCAUUAUUUAGGCCGUCAACGGUGGUUGUUCCAUCCAGUUCCUUCCUUUAUGGACAAUACUGAACAAGAACAACUCAGCCAAAUCUCUGGUGUUCACGCAUUUAGACAAGAAAA